UCGAGAGCUGCGGAACGACAACAACGCUGGACUUUGAGAAACCUCCGAUGCGAAAAACAAACCAAGCAAAACAGCUGCGAUUUGCAAUGGACCACGAACCUUGGACUACCUCUGACUGAGAGAAUGGUUUUACUGAUGAGAACUUGUUCACGACCCGGUGGGAUCAGAGGCAUAGAGUGUGGCCCCAGGAAACAGUCGUUACAGAUCAGAAUACCUCCAGCAAGUGGUGGCAAAUGGCCAUUCAGCAGUGUGCGUAUGGAGUCUUGUUACCAAAGAAGGGCUUUGUCUGCUAGUCCACAUAGUAGACAGUCCGAGUGCUACUGCUUGAUCCUGGAUGACAUGAUGGUGCUUUAGUUCCUGAAUGGUCCUUUCCCAGAGGGCGAUUACGUCUUAUUCCCCUGUGACACAUGGCAUCUUAAGUGCACUUUGAGCGAGUACACUUAGCUGCGAGUGCCAUUUGCGCACUGUCACCUGAGCAACUUUAGUGUCACUCGCUGCACUUAGCCGGCAAGUGUAUUCCCCAACCUUACUUCACUGUGACGAAGUGUGUAGCCUCGGUACCAAUGGCUUACACAUAAACACGCUGUUGCCUAAAGUGGCGCUCAUACUAUUUUUAAACUAGUGUUUCUGUUAUAAAGGAUAAUGCUAUGUAUUAAAGCAAGUCAUAAAUGAACAAAAAUUCUCGCUACUCUUACCAUCGAGCAGGUUGCGGCAACACCCGCUAGGGGGAUGCAGCAGCAAAUGCUGUGCGAUAGCUGCGUAUGUUAUGCUGUUUACUUCCAGGCACACUUUCACAUGUGUAGGCGAGUCGUUCUACAGUCGUUUACGAUGGCGUAUGUAACUGGUGCAACUUCCAUGAAGACAACGUGUUCGGACGAUGAGACA